GAUGAACGCUGGCGGCGUGCUUAACACAUGCAAGUCGAACGGUGAAGCAGGAGCUUGCUCUUGUGGAUCAGUGGCGAACGGGUGAGUAACACGUGAGCAACCUGCCCCUGACUCUGGGAUAAGCGCUGGAAACGGCGUCUAAUACUGGAUAUGUGAUGUGACCGCAUGGUCUGCAUCUGGAAAGAAUUUCGGUUGGGGAUGGGCUCGCUGCCUAUCAGCUUGUUGGUGGGGUAAUGGCUUACCAAGGCGUCGACGGGUAGCCGGCCUGAGAGGGUGACCGGCCACACUGGGCCUGAGACACGGCCCAGACUGCUACGGGAGGCAGCAGUGGGGAAUAUUGCACAAUGGGCGGAAGCCUGAUGCAGCAACGCCGCGUGAGGGAUGACGGCCUUCGGGUUGUAAACCUCUUUUAGCAGGGAAGAAGCGAAAGUGACGGUACCUGCAGAAAAAGCACCGGCUAACUACGUGCCAGCCGCCGCCGUAA
rnacentral:rRNA from 1 species